rnacentral:snRNA from 2 species
AUACCUUUCUCGGCCUUUUGGUUAAGAUCAAGUGUAGUAUCUGUUCUUAUCAGUUUAAUAUCUGAUAUGUGGCUAUUGAGUUUCUCAAGUGUUGCCCAUGUGUUGCACUAUUGCAUGGGCUGUUGGCACCCCACCAAUUUUAAUUCAAUUUUUUUUUUAGAAAUGCUAAAAGCAUU